rnacentral:rRNA from 1 species
GGCGCGCGAUACAGGGUGACAGCCCCGUACACAAAAGCGCAUGUGCUGUGAGCUCGAUGAGUAGGGCGGGACACGUGGUAUCCUGUCUGAAUAUGGGGGGACCAUCCUCCAAGGCUAAAUACUCCUGACUGACCGAUAGUGAACCAGUACCGUGAGGGAAAGGCGAAAAGAACCCCGGCGAGGGGAGUGAAAAAGAACCUGAAACCGUGUACGUACAAGCAGUGGGAGCACCCUUUGGGGUGUGACUGCGUACCUUUUGUAUAAUGGGUCAGCGACUUAUAUUCUGUAGCAAGGUUAACCGUAUAGGGGAGCCGGAGGGAAACCGAGUCUUAACCGGGCGUUAAGUUGCAGGGUAUAGACCCGAAACCCGGUGAUCUAGCCAUGGGCAGGUUGAAGGUUGGGUAACACUAACUGGAGGACCGAACCGACUAAUGUUGAAAAAUUAGCGGAUGACCUGUGGCUGGGGGUGAAAGGCCAAUCAAACCGGGAGAUAGCUGGUUCUCCCCGAAAGCUAUUUAGGUAGCGCCUCGUGAAUUCAUCUCCGGGGGUAGAGCACUGUUUCGGCUAGGGGGCCAUCCCGGCUUACCAACCCGAUGCAAACUGCGAAUACCGGAGAAUGUUAUCACGGGAGACACACGGCGGGUGCUAACGUCCGUCGUGAAGAGGGAAACAACCCAGACCGCCAGCUAAGGUCCCAAAGUCAUGGUUAAGUGGGAAACGAUGUGGGAAGGCCCAGACAGCCAGGAUGUUGGCUUAGAAGCAGCCAUCAUUUAAAGAAAGCGUAAUAGCUCACUGGUCGAGUCGGCCUGCGCGGAAGAUGUAACGGGGCUAAACCAUGCACCGAAGCUGCGGCAGCGACGCUGAUGCGUUGUUGGGUAGGGGAGCGUUCUGUAAGCCUGCGAAGGUGGCCUGUGAGGGUUGCUGGAGGUAUCAGAAGUGCGAAUGCUGACAUAAGUAACGAUAAAGCGGGUGAAAAGCCCGCUCGCCGGAAGACCAAGGGUUCCUGUCCAACGUUAAUCGGGGCAGGGUGAGUCGACCCCUAAGGCGAGGCCGAAAGGCGUAGUCGAUGGGAAACGGGUUAAUAUUCCCGUACUUGGUGUUACUGCGAAGGGGGGACGGAGAAGGCUAUGUUGGCCGGGCGACGGUU